GCUAUGGGUGUUUCCAUGUUUCACACCUGUCUAAUUGUACUAGAAACUGCACCUUUUUUUAAUAAUUCAUCUGUCAAAUAUUUAACAUUCCAUUGGUGAGCAGAUUCCUUUGCCAUACCAAUUACUCCAGAUUAUGGUGGACCUGUAGUUCAUUAUGCAGAUGGAGUAUUUGAUUUAGGAUCUCAAAGUUAUGUCACAGUAAGGGAAGAUACUCGUGACAGUAGCAUAAAUCCCACCACGACAAUUGUAUCCAUCACCUUUAAUGGCGAAACUAACCAAGAACCAAAAGUGUUAGUUGGUGGAAAUGACUUCUACGCAUUCCCCCGUCUGGAUUCCAAAGGAGAGCGGCUUGCUUGGAUUGAAUGGGGUCACCCUAACAUGCCAUGGGAUAAAGCACAACUUUGGGUUGGUUACAUUUCCAAGGAUGGAGAUAUAAGCCAAAGGAUCUGUGUUUCCGG